GCAACCUGCCGCCGCUGGGUACCGGACCCUGUGCGCGCCUGGACGUGGCGCAGGAGACAGUGGGGCCUGACUCGGGUGGUGGUGAUUGUCGCUGACCCGGAAGAAGCUGGGCUUUCUCAAAGGAGGGGAGGAUUAACGACAGAGAGGGCCCCCUGGUUCUUAUUCAUCCAGCCUUCCCCGGCGCACCGUGGCGGAAAGAGGCAGUGGGGGAGGGGAGGCAUGAAAUCAUGACCAAGAACAAUCCAGAGAACAAAAGGCACUUGGGGCAAAAGGUCCUCUGCAUCUUUUCCUGGAGUCUCUCUCACAGUUCCCCAAGGAAUUGCUCACCAUGGGUCAUUCUUUUGCUUGUGUUCUGACACAAGGGAACAAUCCCUUCCUGCCCCACAACGAGUGUUUAUUACAGCUUCAUCUCCUGGAGCGUGAUCAAGCAAGGCAUACUGAAGCAAUAUGGCAGCAAUCCUUGAAUAUGUCUUUCUAUAGAGAACUACGUCGGGGAAGUGGUGGCGCAUGCCUUUAAUCCCAGCACUUGGGAGGCAGAGGCUGGUGGAUCUCUGAGCUUGAGGCCAGCCAAGUUUACAGAGUGAGUUCCAGGACAGCCAAGACUACACAAAGAAACCCCAUCUUGAGAACAUACAAACAAACAGGACUACUAGGUCAGGAUUAAGAUUUUUUAUAAAAAUUCAUUAUUAUUAUUAUUAUCGUGUAUGCAUGAUGCGAAUGUGUUGGUCCACGUGUGGCCCUCAGAUGGUAACUGUGUGGAAUCAGUUCUUCCCUCCAACCUUUACGUGGGCCCCAGGGACUGAAUAUAGGUCGUCAGGCUGUGAAGCAAAUGUUUUACCCACAUCUCACCAAGGCCAGGGUUUAUUCUGAUAUUUUUAGUGUUUGGCUUGAAUGAUGACAGCCAACAUUAGCACCAGCAGAUAGAGACAUCACCUUUGUAAAAUCUUUGUACUGAUGUUUGCUAUGCCUAUGGUUACUUUCCUUGCUCGUGUGACAAAAUACUUAUAAAAUGCAACUUAAGGAAGGAAGCGUUUUCUUUGGCUCACAGGCUGAGAGCACAAUUCACCAUGGCAAGGAGAUCAUUGCAGCCAGUGCAUAAGGCACAUGGUUGCACUGUGGUGUAGUCAGGGGUGUGUUCUGGUGCUGUUAGUUUUCUGUUUUAUUAAAAGCCCGGAAUCUCAGCCCAUUGGAUGGUGUAACCCACAGUCAAGGUGAGCCUUUCUUCCUUAUUCAGUUAAACUCUCCGGAUACACUCAUCAAUAUGUCCAGAGGUAUGGAUCCCCAGGGAGUCUCAAUCCAAAAAGGUUGAUAACUGCACCCUUUGUCAACUAGAAAUCCAAAUACAUUGGUCUAAAUGAAGACAUUUUACUUUCACCCGCUAAUAUUUCAUUUUCAUCUUAUAAUGCAAAGUAUACUUAGCCCAUCUCUAAAAGUUCCCACACUGUUCAGAAGUCCAAAACCCAAAUUCUCUUCUGAGGUUCAAGGCAAUCUGUUAACCAUGAGCCACUACAGAAUGUUUUCUAAAAAGUUAUCUACUUCAAAUAUACAAUGGUACAGAAUAAACCUUCCCUGCCCAAAACUGAUAGAUGGGAGGAGAGCAAGGAAAAACCAGACUGAGGAAGACGAAAUCUACCAUGGCAGACACUGACUCUUGCAAAGUCGGUAUCUAGCAUCUGGGUUUUGCGAUGAUAACUAGGACACUUCUCUGGGGGUUUUAUAGUUGACUGGUUCCCCGUAUCCUUACCACAUCUGUUAAAUCAUUUUUACUUUUUAUUACAAUAUUUAUUUACAUGAUCAUUUUAUACCCAACCACAACUAAACAGCUUAGGGAAUAAAGAAAGACCAAGGAAGGGAACUUGGUUUCUUUCAGCGAUUAGGCCAUAAAUCAGAUGGGCAGUCUCAGCUUGUAAUAGCACAUGCAGAGUAUGGUUUUACAUUUUACACAGUACACUACCUAUCUGAAAAUUAUACGCAUCGAUACUCUUUAUCUGUAUCUAACAUGGAAAUAAUGUGUGACGUGGGUGGAUGAGAAAAUGAAUUUUAUUACAAAGUCUGUCAUUUCAACACUUUCUUCUGUUAUUAAGGGUCAAUCUUCUUUUAACUAAAAUCUGUGAAGUAACAUUUAGUCUUACCCUUGACAGCUAUUAGAAAAUAAAAAUGAGUUUGCAUUUUU